UACGUAGGGUGCAAGCGUUAAUCGGAAUUACUGGGCGUAAAGCGUGCGCAGGCGGUUGUGCAAGACAGAUGUGAAAUCCCCGGGCUCAACCUGGGAACUGCAUUUGUGACUGCACGGCUAGAGUGUGUCAGAGGGGGGUAGAAUUCCACGUGUAGCAGUGAAAUGCGUAGAUAUGUGGAGGAAUACCGAUGGCGAAGGCAGCCCCCUGGGAUAACACUGACGCUCAUGCACGAAAGCGUGGGGAGCAAGCAGG
rnacentral:rRNA from 1 species